UGCGCAGGCGGGCUUGUAAGUCAGUGGUGAAAUACUGCCGCUUAACGGUAGAACUGCCAUUGAUACUGCGAGUCUUGAAUAUGGUUGAGGUAGGCGGAAUGUGUUGUGUAGCGGUGAAAUGCAUAGAUAUGACACAGAACGCCGAUUGCGAAGGCAGCUUACUAAGCCAUUAUUGACGCUGAGGCACGAAAGCGUGGGGAGCGAACGGGAUUAGAUACCCUGGUAGUCC
rnacentral:rRNA from 1 species